rnacentral:tRNA from 1 species
AUUUAUAUAGUUUAAUAAAAACAUUAUGCUUUCAUUAUAAAAAUAGAUUUAAUCUUAUAAAUU